rnacentral:rRNA from 1 species
AGAGUUUGAUCCUGGCUCAGAUUGAACGCUGGCGGCAUGCUUUACACAUGCAAGUCGAACGGCAGCACGGGUGCUUGCACCUGGUGGCGAGUGGCGAACGGGUGAGUAAUGCACCGGAACGUACCCAGUAAUGGGGGAUAACACAUCGAAAGAUGUGCUAAUACCGCAUACGCCCUGAGGGGGAAAGCGGGGGAUCGUAAGACCUCGCGUUAUUGGAGCGGCCGAUGCCGGAUUAGCUAGUUGGUGAGGUAAGAGCUCACCAAGGCGACGAUCCGUAGCUGGUCUGAGAGGACGACCAGCCACACUGGGACUGAGACACGGCCCAGACUCCUACGGGAGGCAGCAGUGGGGAAUUUUGGACAAUGGGCGCAAGCCUGAUCCAGCCAUGCCGCGUGAGUGAAGAAGGCCUUCGGGUUAUAAAGCUCUUUCGCAAGGAAAGAAAACUUAUCUACUAA